rnacentral:rRNA from 1 species
CGGCGGACGGGUGAGUAACGCGUGGGUAACCUGCCUUAUACAGGGGGAUAACAGUUAGAAAUGACUGCUAAUACCGCAUAAGCGCACAGUACCGCAUGGUAGUGUGUGAAAAACUCCGGUGGUAUAAGAUGGACCCGCGUCUGAUUAGCCAGUUGGCGGGGUAACGGCCCACCAAAGCGACGAUCAGUAGCCGACCUGAGAGGGUGACCGGCCACAUUGGGACUGAGACACGGCCCAGACUCCUACGGAAGGCAGCAG